GAUUCUUAGUCUUUCUCUCCGAUUCUUUUCUCCCCGAAACCCCUUCUUUGCCCGAUCGUCGACCACCAUGAGUUCAUCGCCGGCCAUUGGACUCGACGCAGACGACUCUCCCAGUAUGCCACUGCCUUCCCUUCCUCCCGGUGCGAGGAGGCGACGUUUCACGCGCAAUCAACCCGGAUCGCCUCUGCCCUAAACGUGAUUAACGUCGCCCCAUCUGACCCCGACGCCUUCAACUGUGAGUUGCUCGAUUGUCGGUCGUCUUCCAUUGAGUGGCGUCGCCUAGUCCAUUUCUUGUUUGUGAUGACGGUGGUCAAAGGAUCUGCCGAGCCAGCUGCCAACGAUCCCUGUCGCAACUACUCGUGCCCUAGAUUUGGGCAGCGCCACCAUCGGCCUUCACCCGAGCCCUAGCUUCCCUCUUCUUGAUCUGUUUCCACUGUGAGUGUGAGUUGGUUGCCACCAAUCAUCUCUGAUCACUGGGACAUAUGAUCCGAGCCAUUCCAUGGCUUGACGAGGAGUUUAUAGACUACAAGCUUUGGCCAUCCUUGUUCGCUGGAUAACCAGGAUUCCAGCCAUUCCUGUUCCGACAGUGACCUCUCCGACCGUGAGUCGAUGGAGGAGCAAUCCAAAUAGGGAUAAUUGUUUGGGAGUUCAGCAACCUCACCUUGCCCUAGCUUCCAAUUUUCAGCAGCUACAAUCGAAGGUUGGUGAACCUUGUGGUGGUGAGGGCAGCUGGACAAAACGAAGCUUUGUGCCCUAGUGUGGAGGACUUUGGUUUGGGACGAGUGUCUUGACGAGGGAUUUCCGGAUCAUGAUCGACAGAUUUAAGG